rnacentral:rRNA from 1 species
CAGCAGCCGCGGGAACACGAAGGGUGCAAGCGUUACUCGGAAUUACUGGGCGUAAAGCGUGCGUAGGUGGUGGUUUAAGUCCGUUGUGAAAGCCCUGGGCUCAACCUGGGAAUUGCAGUGGAUACUGGGUCACUAGAGUGUGGUAGAGGAUAGUGGAAUUUCCGGUGUAGCAGUGAAAUGCGUAGAGAUCGGAAGGAACAUCUGUGGCGAAGGCGACUAUCUGGGCCAACACUGACACUGAGGCACGAAAGCGUGGGGAGCAAACAGGAUUAGAGACCCCGGUAGUCCCUGUCUCUUAUAC